UACGAAGGGGGCGAGCGUUGUUCGGAUUUACUGGGCGUAAAGGGCGCGUAGGCGGCCUUCCAAGUCGAGUGUGAAAGCCCCGGCUCAACCUGGGAGGUGCGCUCGAGACUGGCGGGCUUGAGGGCGGUAGGGGCUGGUGGAAUUCCCGGUGUAGUGGUGAAAUGCGUAGAGAUCGGGAGGAACACCCGUGGCGAAGGCGGCCAGCUGGGCCGACCCUGACGCUGAGGCGCGAAGGCGUGGGGAGCGAACGGG
rnacentral:rRNA from 1 species